rnacentral:rRNA from 1 species
UACGGAGGGUGCGAGCGUUGUCCGGAAUCACUGGGCGUAAAGGGCGCGUAGGUGGUUUGAUAAGGGUGUGGUGAAAGCCCGGGGCUCAACCCCGGGUCUGCCGUGCCGACUGUCAAACUCGAGGGCUGUAGAGGCAGACGGAAUUCCGGGUGUAGCGGUGGAAUGCGUAGAGAUCCGGAGGAAGACCGGUGGCGAAGGCGGUCUGCUGGGCAGUUUCUGACACUGAGGCGCGACAGCGUGGGGAGCAAACAGG